rnacentral:rRNA from 1 species
GACAGAGGCCUCGAGCGUUAGGCGGAAUCACUGGGCUUAAAGCGUGUGUAGGCGGAUCGUUAAGUGCCUUGUGAAAUCCCACGGCUUAACUGUGGAACGGCUGGGCAUACUGGCGGUCUUGAGCCAUCUAGGGGCGACUGGAACAAACGGUGGAGCGGUGAAAUGCGUAGAUAUCGUUUGGAACGCCAAUGGUGAAAACAGGUCGCUGGGGAUGAGCUAACGCUGAGACACGAAAGCCAGGGGAGCAAACGGG